rnacentral:tRNA from 2 species
GAGCGAUUAGUUCAAUUGGUAGAGCAUUUGUUUUACACACAAAAAGUUAAAGGUUCGAGACCUUUAUCGCUUA